ACUAUCGUUAACUGAAUACAUAGGUUAACGAGGCGAACCGGGGGAACUGAAACAUCUAAGUACCCCGAGGAAAAGAAAUCAACCGAGAUUCCCCCAGUAGCGGCGAGCGAACGGGGAGCAGCCCAGAGUCUGAAUCAGCUUGUGUGUUAGUGGAACGGUCUGGAAAGUCCGACGGUACAGGGUGAUAGUCCCGUACACCAAAAUGCACAGGCUGUGAACUCGAAGAGUAGGGCGGGACACGUGGUAUCCUGUCUGAAUAUGGGGGGACCAUCCUCCAAGGCUAAAUACUCCUGACUGACCGAUAGUGAACCAGUACCGUGAGGGAAAGGCGAAAAGAACCCCGGCGAGGGGAGUGAAAAAGAACCUGAAACCGUGUACGUACAAGCAGUGGGAGCACCUUCGGGUGUGACUGCGUACCUUUUGUAUAAUGGGUCAGCGACUUAUAUUCUGUAGCAAGGUUAACCGUAUAGGGGAGCCGCAGGGAAACCGAGUCUUAACUGGGCGUUAAGUUGCAGGGUAUAGACCCGAAACCCGGUGAUCUAGCCAUGGGCAGGUUGAAGGUUGGGUAACACUAACUGGAGGACCGAACCGACUAAUGUUGAAAAAUUAGCGGAUGACUUGUGGCUGGGGGUGAAAGGCCAAUCAAACCGGGAGAUAGCUGGUUCUCCCCGAAAGCUAUUUAGGUAGCGCCUCGUGAAUUCAUCUUCGGGGGUAGAGCACUGUUUCGGCUAGGGGGUCAUCCCGACUUACCAACCCGAUGCAAACUACGAAUACCGAAGAAUGUUAUCACGGGAGACACACGGCGGGUGCUAACGUCCGUCGUGAAGAGGGAAACAACCCAGACCGCCAGCUAAGGUCCCAAAGUCAUGGUUAAGUGGGAAACGAUGUGGGAAGGCACAGACAGCCAGGAUGUUGGCUUAGAAGCAGCCAUCAUUUAAAGAAAGCGUAAUAGCUCACUGGUCGAGUCGGCCUGCGCGGAAGAUGUAACGGGGCUAAACCAUGCACCGAAGCUGCGGCAGCGACACUAUGUGUUGUUGGGUAGGGGAGCGUUCUGUAAGCCUGCGAAGGUGUGCUGUGAGGCAUGCUGGAGGUAUCAGAAGUGCGAAUGCUGACAUAAGUAACGAUAAAGCGGGUGAAAAGCCCGCUCGCCGGAAGACCAAGGGUUCCUGUCCAACGUUAAUCGGGGCAGGGUGAGUCGACCCCUAAGGCGAGGCCGAAAGGCGUAGUCGAUGGGAAACAGGUUAAUAUUCCUGUACUUGGUGUUACUGCGAAGGGGGGACGGAGAAGGCUAUGUUAGCCGGGCGACGGUUGUCCCGGUUUAAGCAUGUAGGCUGAUUGUCCAGGCAAAUCCGGAUAAUCAAGGCUGAGGUGUGAUGACGAGGCACUACGGUGCUGAAGUAACAAAUGCCCUGCUUCCAGGAAAAGCCUCUAAGCAUCAGGUAACAUCAAAUCGUACCCCAAACCGACACAGGUGGUCAGGUAGAGAAUACCAAGGCGCUUGAGAGAACUCGGGUGAAGGAACUAGGCAAAAUGGUGCCGUAACUUCGGGAGAAGGCACGCUGGUGUGUAGGUGAAGUCCCUGCGGAUGGAGCUGAGACCAGUCGAAGAUACCAGCUGGCUGCAACUGUUUAUUAAAAACACAGCACUGUGCAAACACGAAAGUGGACGUAUACGGUGUGACGCCUGCCCGGUGCCGGAAGGUUAAUUGAUGGGGUUAUCCGUAAGGAGAAGCUCUUGAUCGAAGCCCCGGUAAACGGCGGCCGUAACUAUAACGGUCCUAAGGUAGCGAAAUUCCUUGUCGGGUAAGUUCCGACCUGCACGAAUGGCGUAAUGAUGGCCAGGCUGUCUCCACCCGAGACUCAGUGAAAUUGAACUCGCUGUGAAGAUGCAGUGUACCCGCGGCAAGACGGAAAGACCCCGUGAACCUUUACUAUAGCUUGACACUGAACAUUGAGCCUUGAUGUGUAGGAUAGGUGGGAGGCUUUGAAGCGUGGACGCCAGUCUGCGUGGAGCCAACCUUGAAAUACCACCCUUUAAUGUUUGAUGUUCUAACGUUGGCCCCUUACCGGGGUUGCGGACAGUGUCUGGUGGGUAGUUUGACUGGGGCGGUCUCCUCCCAAAGCGUAACGGAGGAGCACGAAGGUUAGCUAAUCCUGGUCGGACAUCAGGAGGUUAGUGCAAUGGCAUAAGCUAGCUUGACUGCGAGCGUGACGGCGCGAGCAGGUGCGAAAGCAGGUCAUAGUGAUCCGGUGGUUCUGAAUGGAAGGGCCAUCGCUCAACGGAUAAAAGGUACUCCGGGGAUAACAGGCUGAUACCGCCCAAGAGUUCAUAUCGACGGCGGUGUUUGGCACCUCGAUGUCGGCUCAUCACAUCCUGGGGCUGAAGUAGGUCCCAAGGGUAUGGCUGUUCGCCAUUUAAAGUGGUACGCGAGCUGGGUUUAGAACGUCGUGAGACAGUUCGGUCCCUAUCUGCCGUGGGCGCUGGAGAAUUGAGGGGGGCUGCUCCUAGUACGAGAGGACCGGAGUGGACGCAUCACUGGUGUUCGGGUUGUCAUGCCAAUGGCACUGCCCGGUAGCUAAAUGCGGAAGAGAUAAGUGCUGAAAGCAUCUAAGCACGAAACUUGCCCCGAGAUGAGUUCUCCCUGAGACUUUAAGUCUCCUGAAGGAACGUUAAAGACGAUGACGUUGAUAGGCCGGGUGUGUAAGCGCAGCGAUGCGUUGAGCUAACCGGUACUAAUGAACCGUGAGGCUUAACC
rnacentral:rRNA from 1 species